GGAGUCCAAUAUGACAAGAUUGGUGUGUAUGACUGAGUAUGAGAAAGAGAAAUGCAACCCGGAUCCUGGUUGUUAAAGUACCGUAGAUGCAAAACAAAAAAAACUCAUAGGGACUUCGUCCUCACUUACAAAACUUGUGAAAGCCAUAAUAAGCUUGUGUAGGGUUCUUGGAGUCCAAUAUGACAAGACUGGUGUGUAUGACUGAGUAUAAGAAAGAUAAAAGCAACCCGGAUCCUGGUUGCUAAAGUAGAGUAGAUGCAAAACAAAAAAAACUCAUAGGGACUUCGUCCUCACUUACAAAACUUGUGAAAGCCAUAAUAAGCUUGUGUAGGGUUCUUGGAGUCCAAUAUGACAAGACUGGUGUGUAUGACUGAGUAUAAGAAAGAUAAAUGCAACCCGGAUCCUUGUUGUUAAAGUAGAGUAGAUGCAAAACAAAAAAAACUCAUAGGGAAUUCGUCCUCCCUUACAAAACUUGGGGAAGCCAUAAUAAGCUUGUGUAGGCUUCUUGGAGUCCAAUAUGACAAGAUUGGUGUGUAUGACUGAGUAUGAGGAAGAGAAAUGCAUCCCGGAUCCUGGUUGUUAAAGUACCGUAGAUGCAAAACAAAAAAAACUCAUAGGGACUUCGUCCUCACUUACAAAACUUGUGAAAGCCAUAAUAACCUUGUGUAGGGUUCUUUGAGUCCAAUAUGACAAGAUUGGUGUGUAUGACUGAGUAUAAGAAAGAGAAAUGCAACCCGGAUCCUAGUUGUUAAAGUAGCGUAGAUGCAAAACAAAAAAACUCAUAGGGACUUCGUCCUCACUUACAAAACUUGUGGAAACCAUAAUAAGCUUGUGUAGGCUUCUUGGAGUCCAAUAUGACAAGAUUGGUAUGUAUGACUGAGUAUGAGAAAGAGAAAUGCAUCCCGGAUCCUGGUUGUUAAAGUACCGUAGAUGCAAAACAAAAAAAAACUCAUAGGGACUUCGUCCUCACUUACAAAACUAUUGAAAGCCAUAAUAACC
rnacentral:lncRNA from 1 species